rnacentral:rRNA from 1 species
CCUACGGGAGGCAGCAGUGAGGAAUAUUGGUCAAUGGACGAGAGUCUGAACCAGCCAAGUAGCGUGAAGGAUGACUGCCCUAUGGGUUGUAAACUUCUUUUAUAUGGGAAUAAAAUGUUCCACGUGUGGGAUUUUGUAUGUACCAUAUGAAUAAGGAUCGGCUAACUCCGUGCCAGCAGCCGCGGUAAUACGGAGGAUCCGAGCGUUAUCCGGAUUUAUUGGGUGUAAAGGGAGCGUAGGUGGAUUGUUAAGUCAGUUGUGAAAGUUUGCGGCUCAACCGUAAAAUUGCAGUUGAAACUGGCAGUCUUGAGUACAGUAGAGGUGGGCGGAAUGCGUGGUGUAGCGGUGAAAUGCUUAGAUAUCACGAAGAACUCCGAUUGCGAAGGCAGUUCACUGGACUGCAACUGACACUGAGGCUCGAAAGUGUGGGUAUCAAACAGGAUUAGAUACCCCUGUAGUC